rnacentral:misc_RNA from 1 species
CGGGCCCUGAGUUAACAACAUCCUUCCCACUAGCUGCCAAUCCCAUCACAAACUCCACAUCUUUUGGGGAUAUAGGAAUGCGCUCCCCACGAAUCUCCAAGCUACGGCCUGAAGUAUCAAAUCUCUGCAAUAGCCAAAGGCAUAAGCUUCGGCGCAGUGUUCGGCAUCUUAGGCCAAGAAGGCUGCCAAAUCCCAUGCUUUUCACUGCAUCCUUUUGUUCUGUGGUAAGGCACUGCAGCACAUUAAAUAAGCGGCCAGGAGAGCAUCUUGUGACUAGCUUAGUCUGUUUCCUUGGCUUGGGGGCACGAGCAGGAGCCGUACUCAAGUAAUUAUCCCAUACUUCACGAGCACGCCUAGUAUAUUUUGCUUUCUCCUCCAAGCUCAUUAACUUCCAAGCAUCUGAUGCUGCCUUUGUGGCAGCUUUAAGGCCAGAGGACUCAGGAUGUGAAACACUGUACUCCUUGAUAAACUCUCGGCUAAAAUGCACCCAUGAGCAAGCAGGACGAGGAGUAACCAAUUUGUUUUUCUUUUUCCUUUUCCCUUCUAAUUCAAUAUGCUCUUCAGCCUUUCUCUUCGCCAUCAUAACAUCUCCAUCACUUGGUACCUGAUAUAUUUUUGUAGUAGAAGGAACUACUGCCGAGAAAGAAUGGGAAAACAACAAGGAGAAACUGUUGCCACAGUGGUUGCCGCCACAUCACCAGCGAGUGUUGGAUAGUCUCUGGAGGCGCAGCCGGAUAUUUAACAGAGACUUGCCAUGCAUUCGCAACGCCAAGAAGAGCGUUCCGCCACAGAUCACGUGCCUAGGAACUUCUCUCUUUUGGCGGAACAGGGGCCCAUUGGGUUCUGCGGCAGUGCGAAAUGAAUGAAUCGACGACGAAAACGACCAGGAAAGGAUGAAAGCAGAGUCAGGUUCGUCGCACCCCUUCGCCCCCGCGAUUUCCGCGAGGUUCCCAGUCGCCAGUGGUCGUUAUUGGGUAUAUCAGAAGAUGAUGUCGAAAACGGGCGUCAAAGCUCUCUCUCUCUCUCAAAUGGCUGCUGGAGGAGGAGAGCAGCACCACCAGUC